UUAUCAGACUUGUUACAAAGUUGUUCUAACAAGUUUGAUACAGUCAUGAAAUAACAAGAAUGUUGCAAGGUUGACGACACAAGGUUGUAACAAUAUUGUUAUAUCAUGACUGUAUCGGACUUGUUGGAACAACCUUGCAACAAAUCUGAUAA
rnacentral:miRNA from 1 species